rnacentral:piRNA from 1 species
UCAACCUGGACUCUAAGGAUUGUGGGAAUU